UACGGAGGGGGGCUAGCGUUGUUCGGAAUUACUGGGCGUAAAGCGCACGUAGGCGGACCAGCAAGUUAGGGGUGAAAUCCCGGGGCUCAACCCCGGAACUGCCUUUAAAACUGUUGGUCUGGAGGUCGAGAGAGGUGAGUGGAAUUCCGAGUGUAGAGGUGAAAUUCGUAGAUAUUCGGAGGAACACCAGUGGCGAAGGCGGCUCACUGGCUCGAUACUGACGCUGGAGGUGCGAAAGCGUGGGGGAGCAAACAGG
rnacentral:rRNA from 1 species